rnacentral:rRNA from 1 species
CAGCCGCCGCGGUAAUACGUAGGGUGCGAGCGUUAGUCGGAAUUACUGGGCGUAAAGCGUGCGCAGGCGGUUUUGUAAGACAGGCGUGAAAUCCCCGGGCUCAACCUGGGAAUGGCGCUUGUGACUGCAAAGCUAGAGUGCGGCAGAGGGGGAUGGAAUUCCGCGUGUAGCAGUGAAAUGCGUAGAUAUGCGGAGGAACACCGAUGGCGAAGGCAAUCCCCUGGGCCUGCACUGACGCUCAUGCACGAAAGCGUGGGGAGCAAACAGGAUUAGAUACCCGAGUAGUCCCUGUCUCUUAUAC